CCGCUGCAACACCAUAUAUCACAUGAUAUUUUGUGGAUAAUAUAAUAAUUAUAGGUAAGUUUCGACUGCAGUGACACCUAUGGUCUCCUACGAGAUUCGGGACUGAGCCCGGGCACGUGCCCAGGCUAGCUGGGUGGUAAAACCGCCCCUGACACAAGGUAAGCAUUUAAAGCCAAAUGUAGCAUAUUUGUAAAAUAGGCAAUAGCACUUGAUAGCAAUCAUGCUUUAUUUCAUCUAUGCAUAAGCAACACAAAUGUCAAAUCUAAUAAGGUCUAAUUCUGAUUCCUAUCAGUUUCUAGCUCAAAUGCUAACGAUUCUUCAUCUACGAAAAAAUCCUUUUAAGUUACUAAACUAAACUGGCACAAUUCGAAAUUAACAUUCUUCUAUUAGAGAAACAGAAAUUCCAAUAUCUAGAUCGUUUAGUUUUUACCUUCGUAGCAGUUGUGAUAGCUUCAUGCAGAGAACUCUGAGAGAAAUGAGACAAAAUUCUUCGCUGAGAAGAAAUUCCUUGAGAAAACGGAUGUUGCAACAUCGUAUGCAAAUUUGAUGCAUUGUUCAUAUUCCUAUAAAUUUUCCACAGAAAUCAGUAAUAUUCCUUAGCAUAUCACAGUUCACAUGAUUCAAACAUAGCGUUAUGCAGAAUAAGCUAAACUCGGAAAUUCCGAAGUUCAAAAUUCGAAUUUAAAAUUUGUUGUUUCAGAUUGAAGUGAAGUGAACCUGGAGAAAAUG
rnacentral:lncRNA from 1 species